CGCGCUGGCUGGACCUCCCCCGCCGGGCAGAAGCCACAGGGCCCGGCCGGCUCCAUGGCAACUGGCACCGCGAUCUACCUGCGAACGCACGCCGGUGGUAGUUCGAAACUUCCGGGGCUUCUUCGAUUACUUCCGGUUCGCAGCGCGGCCGACGGCGCGCUGUGUUUUCGCAAAGCUUCCGAGGAUUCUCGGCAAUUUCCGCCCACGCCCGAAAGCCAAGCCCCACCCCUUUCCCUAGUAGGGCGAGAGCAGGCCCAGAAGCCGGGCGUCAGGUACGAGCCCCGCCCUAUGCGAUGACGCAAGGAGCGAAAAAAUGGGUCUGGCGAGCGCUUCGCCGGUGCCACGUCUCCCCCUAGUGGUCACACCAAAACGUGGCCCGAUCAUCUAAAGAGAAAACCCUCUUUUUAGCACUACAAUGUGCUGUGGCAUAAAUCCAUCUUUACUAGGCACCUACUCUGGGCCACUAAUUGUGCCAAGCCUACGGGAGGCGAUGCAUCCCUGCGCUGGACACAGACAAAUAAAAUGCACUAGGGGACACAGACAAAUAAAAGGACAGUUAGGGCCAGGUACGGUGGGUCACGCCGGUAAUCCCAGCAUUUUGGGAGGCCGAGGCGGGCAGAUGACCUGAGGUCAGGAGUUUGAGACCAGCCUGACCAACAUGGAGAAACCCCGUCUCUACUAAGAAUACAAAAUUAGCCGGGCGUGGGGGACGGGUGCUUGUAGUCCCAGCUACUCCUGAGGCUGAGGCAGGGGAAUCGCUUGAACCCGGGAGGUGGAGGCUGCAGUUAGCCGAGAUCGCGCCACCGCUCUCCAGCCUGCGAGCCUGGGCCACAGAGAGAAACUCCACCUCAAAAAGAUAAAUAGAAAGCAGCAUUUAAGAAAUAUCUGAGCUCCUAUGAUUUUUUUCCUCCAAAACUGCCUCUUCUUUUCAUUAAGUAUCUUCUCAUUAAAUACCACUAUUCAUCCAUCUUAUUAAGUGCAGGCCCCAUUCUAGGUGCCAAGAACACAAUGCACAUCAAAGGGAGCCGGGGGUCCCUGUUCUAAUAGAGCUCACUCUUGUGGUGGAGUGGGGGGUGUGAUGAACCAAACUGUGAGUGUUCUUUGCAUCCCUGCUACUACUGGUGGUCUAAGCUUCCUGACCCCUCAUGUGGAUGACAACACAUUAAGUGUUUUUCCUAACUUUCUUGCCAGCCCUCCAGAAAAACCUGCCAGAGAAAUUAGAUCACAAGUCAGAUGAGAUCCAUCUGUUACUCAAAACCCUUCUGCGACCCUCCAUUGCACUUGGACUCAAACCCAAACUCCUCUCUAUGGCUGACAAGGCCUUGCAGGAUCUGCCCGCCCCCAGCCCUAGACAUCACCUCUUCCCCAUCUUCACACAGUCCUCUAGGCUUGAAAUAUUCCCCUACCUGAUCACUUGACUGGUUCAUCUCAGGUCUCACUCACGUCAUUUAAACAGGACCUCUCGGCUGGGCACAGCGGCUGACACCUGUAAUCUCAGCACUUUGGGAGGCCAAGGUGGGCGGAUCACUUGAGCCCAGUUCAAGACCAGCCUGGGCAACAUAGCAAAACCCUGUCUCUACAAAAAAGUACAAAAAAUUAGCCAGGUGUGGCGGUGCAUGCCUGUAGUCCUCAGCUACUUUGGAGGCUGAGUAGGAUCACCUGGGCCCAGGAGUUGGCGGCUGCAGUGAGCCAUGAUUGUGCAACUGCACUCCAGCCUGGAUGAGAGAGACCUUGUCUCAAAAACAAAAAAGAAAAGGCCGGGCACUGUGGCUCAUGGCUGUAAUCCCAGUACUUUGGGAGGCCGAGGUGGGCGAUCACGAGGUCAAGAGAUCGAGACCAUCCUGGCCAACAUGGGGAAACCCCAUGUCUACUAAAAAUACAAAAAUUAGCUGGGCGUGGUGGCACAUGCCUGUAGUCCCAGCUACUCAGGGGGCUGAGGCAGGAGAAUGGCGUGAACCCGGGAGGCUGAGGUUGCAGUGAGCUCGGAUUGUGCCACUGCACUCCAGCCUGGCG
rnacentral:lncRNA from 10 species